ensembl:lncRNA
UCAGCAAAAGAAACUCCAGAACCCAAAGCAAAUUUUCCUGCCCGGUACAAGGAGGACAUAUUUUCACUGACUGUUUCCAUGGAAAUAAAUCGGAGGCAUUACUUUUGGAGCAACUAUGCGGCCCAAGAUAAUUUGUCUUGACUCAGUGUGAUCCAGGCAAGCCAAAAGGUUGCACACCCAUGAAAUAAGCCAAGAAAGUACAUGGACUGCAAGAAAAUUCUUUUUGGUCUACUGACAUCCCUGUUUAAUUAAUAAGUGCUGUCACACAUUCAGCAAGCACGCAUAUCGCUCUUGGUCUUGGUAAGAGCCACUCUCUUUUCCAGUGCUGUGAGUCAUUCAGUCUUCACAAGGUUUUGUCCUCUUCACCAGUCACAAAAAAAUAUUUGUUUGGAAUUUGGUAAACUGAAGUGGAAGUGUCCUCGCCGCUGAGAAUUUACACUGGGACCAGAAUGAUGCCUGCUCUUCCCUCACACAAGGAUGCAGAGCCUAUCGAAGGAAGGGAAUUACAAAAUGACAAGGUAACACAGGAUAUGUCCGUACAGUGGGCUCUGCUGUUGUCUCUGAUCUCUCAGUGAUGGAACAUCAGGAUUCCCCAAGAUGUGUACAGACAACUAAUGCCACCCGCAUGCUGGAAUUCGAAAGUUUAUUUUAGUUUUGAUUGUAGUUGUUUUUGUUUUUUUCUCUCUAUCUGGAACAGUGGUUUUCUUAUUACCUGCCAGCCUACUAACAGGACAAAUCUCAGUCGCAGACAGCAGGAUUACAAAACUGAAGUUGCCAUUGUGCUUUUAGGAUCAUAUGAGCCACUUGGUGCAGUACACACAGAGCAGCUAAAAUAACCAGAAGCAGAGAAGUCAGUGAACAAGGGGUGAUGCCAUCUCUGAGACACAAAGUUAUAACAGAGUAAGCUGACAUUAUAAAGUGGCUGGAGAAGCUGUGUACUUCCUACAGCAGUAGAGGAGCAUGAAGUGCAAUCCUCCAUCAUUUUUGAGGAGAGAAACUCCGUCUGCAAGCUGUGAAAGCAAACUGGUCGUGUGAUUGCUGUCUGAAGGAGUAUCCUUUGAUACCUAUUGAUUCAAUUGAUUUCAUUUUGUGGAAUGGGUUGGAAAGGGCUGAUCUUUGUCUUCUGUCACAAGGACUGGGAAUUAAAUCAUUCUGUCGCCUUGGGCUCUGAUCAUGUUAAUUCCACAGCCAACAGGCAAACAUGGGCAUGGUGCCUGGCACAGUGGUGAUCUGUACUGUCAUUCAGAAGAUGAAACUGUGCGACAUUCACUAGGAGCCAACUGAAAAGUCACCGGAGGCACCCUGUGGCCUUUUCUUUUGAUGCAUAAACAGAUUUUACUGGAAGGGGGGAGAGUUGCCCAUUGCACCAGAUCAACUCUGCUUUUUCACAUCACUGCUUGGUUGCUGAUGUUGGUCCCUGGCACAGGGCUCUUCAAUUUUCAUCAGACUACUAAGAAUCCCCUCAGUAUUUCAAUGAGAGCAUUUAGGAUACUAAGAUAUAUCUGGUUUGCUUUGGAGUUUUUAUUGUUGUUGCUGAUUUUUUCCAAUCUGUGGAAGGAACUGUCACUAGGAAACCACUGUGGUACGGGAACUAUAUGAAUUCUGCAGUCUUCUUCAUAUCUCUUUAUCAAGUGAUAGAUACAGCCUGUCCACUCCAUUCUUUCCCUUUUUCCUAUUCUGUGACAGCAAAUAAAGACACCAGCUAAAGCCGGUUGUGGAGAUUAGGGCUGUUUUCAGCUCACCUUCUUAGCAAAACAAGGCUUACAUGCUUACUCUGCAUGUAAUCUUAAUGUCUUAUGAACACUUCUAGCCAAUCUCUCCCAAACAUAUCAGAAAAGCUGAGUUACCAGCACACUUACUUCCUACAUUUUCUUCCAGUUCAGUCAAAAGGAGCAGCCCAAAAAAUCAUCAGCAGCAUUUUUCUGCUGUAAGUGGGAAAGGUAGAAAAACAGCAGGAGAACUUUAUAUUUGCACAAGGAGAUAAUAUAAAUCUCACUUUCAAUCACUUAGUAUCCAUUCACUGAGAGAUGCACAUCCACAAGAAAGGAGGUGCGCAGCAACCCACGUUUUCUUAUGUGAAUACUUGUCAACUAGUAGACAAAUCAAACAAGUCAGUUGGUUCUUUGCAGGCUUACACUUGUGGCAUUGAACUUAAAUCAUUCCUAUUUCUGAAUUCUGGUCCUGAGUUUAGGUAAUGAUUUCUUUCUCAGUAGUGACUUUCUGUACUGGUUGAAACAUAAACUACUUAAAUGACUGUACUCAAUACUUAUUUAUUGUCUCUUGCAGAAUUAUCUUUCCCAAACCUUUCUUGAACUAUAAUGUUAAUCUGGGGAGCUCUGGAUGUAGUCCAUCCUGGAUGUCUGCUCCAGAUAAUACAAAAAAACCCUGAAUUUUUCAUAAUUCUUUCUAUACAUGCAUGUUGGUUUCUCAGGUAUGUGAUUUAUGGACUCUUUCAGCAUCACUUUCUGCUUUUGAGAAGAUACAGAAAAAAUAGCAGCCCUAAUGCAAGGGGAAGAUGUGAGGAAAAUCAAAAAGCUUUGUGUUCCCAGAGCAGUAAAAAAAUACCUCAAAAUGUUUUUCUUAAGAAAACAGUUUCUGGCAUGACCAGGAUGUUUUCAACUCAACUUUCUUCUACCUUGUUUAUACAGGUGAUCAUCAGUUUUCUUCAGCUUCUGGUCUAUCAGUCUCAGAGGAUAUUUACAGAUCGUAUAAUAUUGAAUUAGAAUCAUGGAAGUGUUAAUGUGCAAUAUAUGCAACAGAAUGGUGGCUACAAAUUAACACCAGUGUCCAAUCCUUCAGAAAAAAUAAUAGAAAUAUGCUACUGCUGAGAUUUAAUGCAAAGUGAAUGAAAAGAAACAGUGACAAUACUUCUCCAUGCUUUCAGAAUUAAGAGGAUUCUAACACUAAUCAAAACCUUUCACACAUUCUUUUUUCCCAUGCUGAAAAUGGAUCAAAGUUUGAAAAUACAACUCAGAGAUUAUUAUGUUUGCAUGCGUAUUUUACAAUCUAUAAACAAGACCUUUACUAAGCAAGCAACUUCUCUAUGGAAAAAGUUCAAUUUCCCAUAAAGAAUUCACGGGAAGAUCUGUAUGUUCAAAAUAUACUUUCUAUUUAUUUCACCCCAGAAAUUCAUCUGACCAAUUUCUUUUCCAGGAAGGGGGAUAAGUGAAAACAUAUGCUUGGUCAUUCUGUAUUUUUUUAACUUCUUGAAUUUCAGCAGUAAGGAGAUUAACUUGACUCAGUAUAAACUAGGGAUGGAAAGAUCUUUGAUGCAGCUGUGAAACUUUCUGCUUCUUUCAGAGCUGAAUGAACACAGCAACAGAGACAUCUGCCACAUCUGCUUCUGUUAUAAAGCAUCGAGUAUAUUGAGGAAGAUAAUGCUUGGUCAUGGUACAUGUUAAUAUCACCUACUGACAAAGCAGGGUUUUCUUAUGUUCAGUUAUGUACACUGACCUGGUAUUAAGUGGAAGGAUCACUGCCCUUUUACAACCUUUUGUACUUGUUCAAUAGCUUUUGAUUCUGUUUGGAGAACCCGUUUCUUGUUAAAAACUUGAGCAACCAAAUCCAUCCUCCUUGAGCAUUGCUGCUCAUAUACCACAGAAUCACCAAAUUCUUGUGGGCUUUCCAAAGCCUUCGUGAGCUAAUGGUGGUCUCCCAUGAUUUCCUUCAAAAUCCGCACAACUGUAAUAAGCCAGAUACCUUAGACUUACAAGGACAGCAUUCACUAACAGCUUUGAAAUGUGUAUACCCAUUGCUGCUUUGAAAACAAGGCCAAAACAGCAUUUUAUUUUUACUGAACAUUAUUAGAGAGCUCUCCACUAAGCCUGUCCAGAACUUUUGUAUUAUUUGAGAUGAAACAAGAAGAGGAAGCUUCUUCUCUAGAAAUUUUGUACUAGUGAGGUUUUUUUAUUCAGCUGAACCCAAAAGCAGAAUUUGGAUCAGAGGUUUUAUUGUAAAAUCUCCAUUACUUCCUGUAGAUUUUCCUAUUGCUGUGCAGCCCAAUUGAGCAGAUGGUAUUAUUCAUCUAUUUUUCUUCUUUGAACUGCGACUGUAACUGUCAUUUGUCUUCUGACAGUCUUAUCUUCCUGUUUUUGGUGGGGUUUUUUUUGUUUGUUUGUUUGUUUGUUUUUCCUAAAAUAUUUGGUGAUCUGGUCAAAAGCAUGCUGAGAAAUCGUUACGUGUUACUACCCUGGGUAAAUUGCCUUCCAAGUUCUGCAGGUGAAUUUCAUCUCUAAUCAGAUUCCUGCUGCAUGACAUCAGCUGUAUAGAAUUCAAAUCAAUACAAAAGUCCUCUUGCAGGUUUGAGCUCCCUCUGAAGGAUCAGCCAUUUCAUUUAUCAGCUAAAUGAUAUACCUGAUAUAUACUUGUUGCUGGAAUAUACCUGGGAUGGUCUGAGUGACAGUCUUCAUUUCUGGUUUGGAGGAGAUUCAAGAAGGAAACAACAACCCAAGAGCAAGGAGGUUGUGAAUCAGCCAAACCUCUGGGAGACAUCAUGCACAGAGGAGGAGACACCAAGACUCCAUGCUCAGGAAAACUGAUAUACUUCUGUUAGUAGUCUUGGGUCUCAUUUGCAUUACCAUGCAUUACCAGUACUUAGAGAUAUGUUUAACUUUAAGGACAUGGGUGAUUGUGGUCUGAAAGCAGCAAUGUGGUUUUAUCUGCUUAUGUGCUCUAUAUUCUCAAAGGGAAACUGUUCCCACUUUUCAGAAACAAAACCUAAGAAUGUGACUGGGAAAAUGAGCCUGGGACAGAAAAAUCAGACCAACAGUCUAAAAAGAUAUAAAAUAAAAUAAAAUAAAAUAUGUCACAGCUUAUUGUAAAAAAAAAUCAUUUCUAACUAAGAAAAAGUGACUUGCAGGACUAAUUUGAGAAUAUAUUUGUCAUAAGCCAGCAAAGAUGAGCCAAGCUUUUUAAAUCAGUCCAUCCCUGCCUCCUUUGGCUGGUAGCAAGGAGAAAGAAACUUGGUGUGCAGCUGGAAGACUGAUGCCAAGCUAAUCGAAUGUGCGUGCAGAGGGAGCAGCAGAUGACAAGGACAGGAUUGGCAGGAUGUCGCCAGAUUGUUUGAUUAGCAAUGGGAUGGCUCAAGUGCUCCCUGUCCUACCAGGAACUUGGCACAGAUGCUGACACGUGACUCAGUCCCCAAGCAGUUGUUCUCUGCAGCACUGUUUGAAAAAGGGCUCUGCUUCUCCAAAAACAGGAAGGGUAUUAACAAAAACAAAAACAAGGAUGAGAAAGAAAGGCUAUGAGACUGUGUCUAUAAAUGUUAGAUUCUGGCUAUUCUUUCUGUUAAUACCACCCAAACUUCAGCUGAAAUGAAAUAUUUGACUUGGGAUAAAAAUCAGAUAGUCUGAAAUUUAACCCAGCAAAAGUAAUAUGAGGGAGCAUUGAUGAGUGGGUAUUUUCCUUCCCCUACAGUUUCGCCAUCCAUGUUAUUGCUUUCUUUCUGUGUGUCAGUUUAGACCAACCUGCCACAAAAAAAAAUAUUAUUUUUUUUCCUAGGAGACAAAUAUGGUGAGAAAGGCAGCAACACUAUCUUCUAACACCAAAGUUGCAAAUCUAUUCUGGUGAAGCUAAGUGAAAAAUGAAGCAAACUGAUUUCAGAGACAUAUACGUAGGCCUAUGGAGAAAGCCCCAAGCAUAAAAACUAGCUCUCAGCACGAAACAUGGGUAGCAAUUGCCUUUGAUUACUAACAGCAGGUUUUUCAGUCUAUGGACAAACGUGUAGAUUAUGAGCAAUUUUCUGAGGCAUCUAAAUCAGCAUAUUCAGAUAGAAACAAAUUUUUGAUGCUAUGGCAUCACAGCUACAGUCCAAAUUACAUUGCACAGAUGUACAUGUAAAUAUCUUACUUGUACUGAAGGCAGCUCAGAAAAAGCAGGGAAUCUGACAUCUCCCCUGAGAUUUUUAAGAUAGUUCAAAUGAUAAAAUAAGUAAGUUCCUCAGAAACAAGAUGGGUGUUGGUGACAGUUUGUACAUUCAGCACAACAAAUAAUCAGCUGCUAUGAAUUUGGAUAACCCUGUUAAAGCCAACAGAACAGAAACAGUUUUUAUCAAGUUACAGCUAGUCCAGAGCAUAUACAUGAGACUUGUACAUAACAAUACUGCAGAUAUAUGGAGAAACUGUAAUGCAGACAGCAGCUUUAUAGUGGGCUUUCAUAUGCCUAUAUACUUCUAAACUGUAUGUGUAACUACAUUCUUGUCAGUUCUUCAGCCUUUUCAGAUGGAUAUGUUACUUCUCUCUAACGUGUCAGUUUUCUGACUAACCUGUCAUAACAAUCUAUGACACCACUCUCUAACAGCUUACCACUGCUUUACAUGAAAUGUGAGGGUUUGUCUGCAGUCACACAUAGGAAUCAUAUUCCAAAAUAAGAGUGUGGGGGAGACGUCUGUAAGUAUAGAUGUAAGCGCAUACGUAUGUAUACGUAGACAGACACACAGAUCCAAAAUAUCUGCCUGUGAAUCAUUGGAAUUACAAUCACAGAGAAUGAAGCAGCACAAGAUGGGAUAUUUCUCCUGAGCUGCACACUGUUUCUCAGCUUUGUGGAAAACUCCUUUUAUGCUGUGACCACAAAUGAUGCACCAUCAGUGGAGUGAUACCGUGUUGCUGAGAAAUGAACUGCUUGUUUGAAUGGACUUUGCAUUCGUUAUAGAAAAGGAACAACUCCAGUUUUAGAUAGAUUCAUUUAUUUACUUUGUGCUGUUUCCAUGACUCAUAAUCCUUUUAAUAAAUCAAACUAAAGAACAUAACAUCAAAUCAGAGAAUCAUAGAAUCGUUAGAGUUGGAAGGAAUGCUCAUAGGCCAAGGAGGUGCAAGGAGAUACAGGUUCUUGAUUUGAGUCCCUCUGGAACACUUGAAAACAUAAAAAUUGUUCAAAAUAUCAUCUUUCCAAAUUAAUAUGUGUUCUUUUUCUGUAUUGUGCACACCGACAUGACAUGAUUCCUGGAAUUUCCUGCUGAUAGAACAUGUUUCCAAAGAUGAGAAGAGAUCCAAAACUUUACAUUAGCAUAGUUUAAAUUCACAAGUCCAUGGCCUCAGCCUACAGACAAUGAUGCCCCAGUCUCACUUGCAGCUAUUUCCAUUAGACGAGUGUGGCUGAUGGGUCAGAAUGGAAAAACUCAUGGGAAAAAAAGACAACUUAAAAUCCAAAAGAUAAUGUUGGAGGUUUUAUCUGUGCUUCUGACAAUACACGGCUGUUAACUCUACUAAUCUGGGCUUUCUCUAAGGGCUGGCAGGGAAUUCAACAUAACCAAAUCUACUCUCUCUGAGGUGCAGGAACUUUCUGGAGCUUAUAAUGAAAGUCUGGAUGCUCAUGGAAAUCAAAGCUGCAUGCUCCUGCCCACAGAAGAGACAGGCAGCAUUGCCACUGCCCUGUGGCCCCAGAAAUAGAAUGGAAAUCUUUGAGGGACCUAAGAGAGAGGACUACAGCGAACACACAAUCUGUGUUUCCUGUAAACUUCUUCAUUUUCCCUCCAUCCUACUUUCAAAUGAAAACAGUCCCUACUGUUCUGAUGUAGGGGAAAAGUCUUUCCUGAUACAUAGCUUAAACUUAAAUGCUUAAAAGAGAAGGCAAACAGGUCCCAGAAAGGCUUAUCUGCAUCACAGAGGACACUAGUACCUCCUACCCCUCUCUUUCCAGUUGAAACUUAUCUUGGAUGUUUCAGAAAAAAAAGAUGAAGAGAAAGAGAAAAACAGCCAAGCAUUGUGUAAGGAGGUGUGAAACAUGUUUCUGGCCUUUACUUUCAUUCUGUGCUACCAUCUCAAAAUCUUUUCCUUGUUUCUGGGCAUCCUGUGUGACCCUUGUAAUUACAGUGAAUGUCUCUCAGGCAACAUUAACCCCUGCCCUGAUCCAUCUCUAACAAUGAUUGCAUUAAAAACUUCACUGUGUCUGCAGCUAUUUAAUCAUUCAUCACCUGGAAAGUGGUACUGCUCUACUGCUCUGUGACUGUGGCCAUUAGUGGUGACAAGCAAGGUCUUCCUGAAAUUAAGAAUAUGACAGUAUGAGCUGGCUUAGAUUCGGCCUUUUACAGAUACAUCCAAUAAUGAAAACUCCUUCACAUCGGGACUGUCCAAAGCCCGCUGACGUCAGUGGAGAGAUCUGAUCUCAGUGGGCUUUAAAUCAGACUCUAUAGCUAAGGCUUCCAAAGCAGCUGGGGGGAUUCAGGCACGUAUCUUUCAUUAAAGUGAGGGUAUAUUAAAGCAAAUGGAAGAUAUGUGUCUGAAAUCCCCUAGACUGCUUUGAAAAUCUAAAAUACUGUGCAAGCUGUACAGCUUUCUCUAUAAAAAUAGCUGCCAAAUCUAGCUUUGGUAAAGGCAAUAGAACUGCAUUAAAAGAUCCGCAGAAAGGCCUGGUCCCUCUGAUCCUUUAGGAAAACAGAGAGAAGGAUGGCCAGAGUGCUUUAUUUUCAGCUUUAAACCGUUCCCACGUCAAAGACAUUUGCUCGAGCAAUUUAUGGGAAUGGCAUAGUAGCCAAAAGAAAAGUAAUGCUACUCUUGUCUACGUAGAUGUCACACUUAUAUGGCUCAUCAAGCUGGGAUCAGGACUGCAACAUCUCUCGUGGACAUUAAGGAAUAUUUGAUGUGGGUUUCUCCAUGAGCCUAUGUGCAAGGCUGAUCUGGUUGCAAAUUCAUGUUGAUAAGGCUGAGCCCAAGACAGCACCACCAUCAUUCCAACAGCUCCUCUCAGGAGAAGUCUUGGUAUAGACCCUUCUCCUCCUGUCCAGCUUUCAUGGGGACACAGCACUGUACCUCUCAGCCCCACGUAAGAACUCCCUCUGUUUUCUGAGAAGCAGUGAGACAAGCCUUCUUUCCUAUAGCCCACAAUGACAAUCUACUUAUUAUUCAGACACAGCCUCGCCUAAUUACCUUGUUAUUUUGUGGCAGGCUAGAACAAGGUAGCACCAUUAAGUCAAGAGUCUUCAUUUUAGCCAUCCACUGCCUUCAUUCUUGAUUUAGAAGGCAGUGGCACAAGAGUGCUCUCAGUCACACACAUCCCAUACAGCUCAGGUUGUCGUGCCACUAGCUUACCUUGGUUGUGUAUCUGCUUAUAGACUUUUUUCUUUAUUUCUUGCAUUUUUGGACUACCAAGAACAAGUUACAUUCUGUUAGAGUGACAAAGAGUAAUUGCAUUUUACGUGUUAUUUCUUGAUGGUAGAGGUACUUCAAACCUCAGAUUGAUUCCAGAUUUCAAAUAUCAGAAAGUUUGAUGCAGUCAGCUCAGGGUGUCCAAUUCUGACCUGUCUCCUGCAAACACAAUCAAAACCUUAUUAUAAGACUCAGAGCUCAGACAAAUGAUAAGCCAAGUCCAGGGAUCUGCCCAUAGUUCAUAUUUUUAGUGCAGGAAGAAUUGACUCAAAGGGAAAAUUGAUGUACAAGAAGAUGUGAUAAAGCUGACGUCCAGAUAGCAUUUGCUCUGCUGAAAUGUUACAACCUGAGCAAGACAAUCUGUGAAAGAGGUAAUUGAGCAUUUGAAAAGCACCUGUUAAUGACGGGUAAGAUAACAACCCCGAGGAACCACCUGUCAGGGCAGGUGAUGAACUCUCCCUCUGAUCUGUUUCUUACUACAGUUUUCUCCAGGGAAACUGGUAGCACAUUCACAUGUCUUUCUAGAGAAAGUUCAUAAUAACAGAGGAUUUAAAUAAACAGAAGAUUGAUUUUAAUGGAAGGUGAAUCAUUUGUAUUUCUUUUUUCUUUUAUCACGCAGCUGAAAUGUUUUAUCUAGCUUAGAUUAUGAGGAACGUAAAUAAAUUUAUGUUGAAUGUUAAAUAAACAUUUGCUUUCUUUUUUCCAAUUUCCUUUUCUCUUUCUCUUUUUAAUAAAUCUUAUUUGGGAUGAGA